UACAGAGGGGGCAAGCGUUGUUCGGAAUUACUGGGCGUAAAGGGCGCGUAGGCGGCCUGUUAAGUCGAACGUGAAAUCCCCGGGCUCAACCCGGGAACUGCGUCCGAUACUGGCAGGCUUGAAUCCGGGAGAGGGAUGCGGAAUUCCAGGUGUAGCGGUGAAAUGCGUAGAUAUCUGGAGGAACAUCAGUGGCGAAGGCGGCCAUCUGGAUCGUACCUGACGCUGAGAUACGAAAGCGUGGG
rnacentral:rRNA from 1 species